rnacentral:lncRNA from 1 species
UGCCAAGCCAUUCUAUGAUUCCAUGGCACGCUCAUUCUUCAGAAGUUUGAGCAGCUCUGUAAUCACAGCUGUAUGGUGAGCCCACUCACCCAUGAAAUCAAUGUAUUUCCUGCAGGUUGUGCCACACUCUGCUCUCUCCACAUCCCAGCAGCAGCCCCGAGGCGAUGGAAGCUUCGUGGUGCUUCGGGGGACUCUUGUAGGUAUGCAAAAAUAAGCACCAGUGAGUGAAGAUGAAAGGAAAAGGUUGCUGGCUCCUUCCCCGGAGAUCGUAUUUCUUACUUGUUGCAUAACUGCUUAUUUU